rnacentral:misc_RNA from 1 species
AACUUUUAGCAACGGAUCUCUUGGCUCUCGCAUCGAUGAAGAACGCAGCGAAAUACGAUAAGUAAUGUGAAUUGCAGAAUUCAGUGAAUCAUCGAAUCUUUGAACGCACCUUGCACCCUUUGGUAUUCCGAAGGGUAUGCUCGUUUGAGUGUCAUUGUACUCUCACACUCUCUGAUCCUUUGGAUUCAGGGAGCAGUGGACUUGGGUGCUUGCUGCUUUCCUUGUGGCUCACCUCAAAUGCGUCAGUGCACCUCUUGGUUGGACAUAGUACGGCGUGAUAAGUAUCUUCGCCGGCACCUCGCAAGAGGGUGGUCAAUUGGGAGCUCUGUGCUUUCAAACCGUCUUCGGACAAUUUCUGACAACUUGACCUCAAAUCGAGUAGGACUACCCGCUGAACUUAAGCAUAUCAAUAAGCGGAGGCU